CCCUUAGAUGUUCUGGGCCGCACGCGUGCUACACUGAGUGGAUCAGCGGGUCAGGUUACGCGAGAGCGUUUCCUAAUCUUCAAAUCCGCUCGUGAUGGGGAUUGACGGUUGCAAUUUUCCGUCAUGAACGAGGAAUACCUUGUAAGCGCGGGUCAUCAUCCCGCGCUGAAUACGUCCCUGCCCUUUGUAUACACCGCCCGUCGCUCCUACCGAUUGAGUGGUCCGGUGAGGCUUUGGGAUCUAAGCGAAAAGAGCGUUUCGCUCCUUUUGCUGGGAGAACUCAGUCGAACCUUAUCAUUUAGAGGAAGGAGAAGUCGUAACA
rnacentral:rRNA from 1 species